UGAAGGCUCCGUUAUCGCCUACUACCUCUCUGAGUUCCGUGUGCCAGUGGGUCAGGAGGCGACCAUCGACAGCAUCAUGACCUCCAUGGACAAGCUGGCGGACAAAGAGCGACGCGUGACCAAGAGACCUGGCAACGCCCUGGUCCUAGAAGACAUGGUGACCUCAGCGCUCGAUACCCGUUUGUUCUCCUCCUCAUUCAACCAGUUCUUGAGGUUUUCCGAGCAUACGCUCAACGAGUUUGAUCAGAUCCAUCUCCGGGCCUUCCCUAACGAGGCGUACCCCAACAACGCCUUCAUCCAGUGGCAGCUCCGCGCGACCCGGGGUACCUCAUCAAGCUGGAUUUCGACCGUUAAAUCUGGAGGACGACUGCAAGAACGACUUUGUUAAAAUCUACGACUCGCUGGUAGCCAUCGAAGGCCGCGUUUUGACGAGUGAGUUUGUGGAAGUUACUUUAAACAGGACAGGGUUGGGGUCAAUUAUAUUUGUAAUUGGUAAUUAAUUACAACUAUGACGUAAUUGUAAUGGUAAUUGUUUUUUGCUCCAGUAAUCAUAAUUGAAUUGUAUUUUUUUUUUUUAAAUAGAAUAAAUAAUAAUAAUAAUGAAUUGUAAUUUAGUUC
rnacentral:lncRNA from 1 species